GUAAGAGCAUUUGGUGGAUGCCUUGGCACAUACAGGCGAUGAAGGACGUGGCACGCUGCGAUAAGCGUUGGGGAGAUGUGAGCAAUCUUUGAUCCAGCGAUUUCCGAAUGGGGGAACCCAUCCUCACCAUUUUUCUUUGUUUUUGGACUUUGUCCAAGGCGAAGUAAAAUGGGGAAGGAUAUCACCGAGUUGAAUAAAAUAGACUUGGUGAAGCGAACCCGGCGAACUGAAACAUCUCAGUAACCGGAGGAAAAGACAUCAACCGAGAUUCCGUUAGUAGUGGCGAGCGAACGCGGACCAGGCCAGUGCCUGAUUGUAAAUUAGCAGAACAUUCUGGAAAGUUUGACCAUAGUGGGUGACAGUCCCGUAUGCGAAAAUGAUCAAUCAGGACUCGAGUAGGGCGGAACACGUGAAAUUCUGUCUGAACAUGGGGGGACCACCCUCCAAGCCUAAAUACUCGUAUGUGACCGAUAGCGAACAAGUACCGUGAGGGAAAGGUGAAAAGUACUCCGAAUAGG
rnacentral:rRNA from 1 species